CUCCCAGUAACAAUACUCCUUCAUCAACUGAUAACAAUAGUAUACAACCCUGCACUUUCAAAAGACUGCUCAAAACAUGUAAUUUCCAUCCAAUACUAAAAAUAAUAGACUCUAUUCCAACCAAUCCGAAUUCACAUAAUUUUUGUAAUCACCAAUUUUCUUUGUCGAAACACACACAGCUCUCAAUAAACAACAAUCAUAAUCUUCCAAUAAAUCCUCAUAUAAUUCAAUCACUCAGUACUCUAAUUAUAUAAUCAAUAACUCAUAAAUCAAUCUCUGAUUUAUUCUAUUGACUCACUUCUCAGUAUUCAAAAACUAUCCAUUACUCUUCAACAACAAAGAAACAAAGAGACAAAGAGGUAGCACCAAGCAUAACCCCGACUCAUGACUAUUAUAGUCUUGCACUCAGAUUAACUU
rnacentral:lncRNA from 1 species